AAAGCAAUGUGCUGACCAUUGUACUGGGAGGCUGGGAGGGCAAAGUCAUUUGGAAUUGGUUGGUUGGCUUUAUGUAUGUCAACAGAACAGAGAACUAUGUGACCAGAAAAAGGGACCAGGGUUGCUGUCUGAAGGGAAGAAAACUUUGGAGAAUGAGAAUAAGAGACUAAAAGGAAAUACACACCAAAAGGCGAAAUGUUGGAGGAUCACCAAGAUGUGGGGAGAGAGGGAAGCUAUUGUUCCAGCACAUUCCAUUCCUGUUAAAUCAACUUGAUAUACGCGAUAGAUUAAGUCUGCACUGCAGAACUCUCCUCUGAAAUGAAGUCACACACGGAACGGAAACACAACAUCCAUCAGAUUGGCUCCUGAUUGAACCAGGGGUAGCAUGACUGAAAACUACUUUUCAACUAUAUAGACUCCUCUAAGUGACCCAACAGUAUCACCAGGGAUUUCUGAAGGUGACAACAUGAAGACAAUUGCUCUUGUCUCACCCCUUAAUUAUACUGAUGAGGAGCCUGGAGCUCAGAGAGCUAACAUCUACCAAGUUCACACAGUACAUUAGACAGCAGGUCAACUAGAAUCCAAAACAAAAUCCCAGACUGUGUAUACAGUCCCUUCCCAGGUGUCCACCAUCAGUCACUGAGAGCAUUGGGAUGGGCAUAAAGUCCACAGUCUGCUCCCUCACCAGUAUGGGACUAAGGUCCCCUCGCCUUCAUGGCUAUUCCAGGCCAUUCUCUCUCCCAGAAGUUGGGGCUGGUCCCUCACCUCAUGGCUGCCAUUCAGGGAGUAAGAGGGGCCUGCAUGCAUUCAUAUUCUUAAGGAAAGCUACCUCAGUG